rnacentral:rRNA from 1 species
UACGUAGGGUGCAAGCGUUAAUCGGAAUACUGGGCGUAAAGCGUGCGCAGGCGGUUUGUAAGUCUGUCGUGAAAGCCCCGGGCUCAACCUGGGAAUUGCGAUGGAGACUGCAAGGCUUGAAUCUGGCAGAGGGGGGUAGAAUUCCACGUGUAGCAGUGAAAUGCGUAGAGAUGUGGAGGAACCCCUGAGGCGAAGGCGGCGUCCUGGCCCGAUUCUGACAUUCAGACACGACAGCAUGGGGAGCGAACGGG